rnacentral:rRNA from 1 species
AGUGAACGCUGGCGGUAGGCCUAACACAUGCAAGUCGAACGGCAGCACAGUAAGAGCUUGCUCUUACGGGUGGCGAGUGGCGGACGGGUGAGGAAUACAUCGGAAUCUACUUUUUCGUGGGGGAUAACGUAGGGAAACUUACGCUAAUACCGCAUACGACCUACGGGUGAAAGCAGGGGAUCUUCGGACCUUGCGCGAUUGAAUGAGGCGAUGUCGGAUUAGCUAGUUGGCGGGGUAAAGGCCCACCAAGGCGACGAUCCGUAGCUGGUCUGAGAGGAUGAUCAGCCACACUGGAACUGAGACACGGUCCAGACUCCUACGGGAGGCAGCAGUGGGGAAUAUUGGACAAUGGGCGCAAGCCUGAUCCAGCCAUACCGCGUGUGUGAAGAAGGCCUUCGGGUUGUAAAGCCCUUUUGUUUGGAAAGAAAAGCAGCAGGUUAAUACCCCGCUGUUCUGACGGUACCCAAAGAAUAAGCACCGGCUAACUUCGUG